rnacentral:tRNA from 1 species
GGAGAGGUCGCAUAGUUCGGCUGAGUGCGCGUCUCGAAAACGCGUAGGGCUUAUCACCCUCGAGGGUUCAAAUCCCUCCCUCUCCG